UCCUCUUUGGCCGAGUGGUUCUCAACAGUUCAACAGUUCUUUUGAUGAUUGUGAAAUGUUCAGGACCACUUGAUCAGAC
rnacentral:pre_miRNA from 8 species